rnacentral:misc_RNA from 1 species
AACGCACGAGACCUGCGGACCUGCGGAAGGAUCAUUACAGGACUCGCAAGACUCCUACAACCCUGUGAACUUAACUAUAAGCACGUUGCUUCGGCGGGUGUCUCGGCGAGGGUUCUCCCUCCCCGGGGCGCUAAGCCCGCCGGCAGCCUACUAUACUCUGUCUCUUUGCGUUGGCAUCUCGAGUACAAACAAACAAGUUAAAACUUUCAGCAAUGGAUCUCUAGAUCGGAAGAGCACACG